CCUUAUUUCUAGUAAAACAUUGUCAAUGUAAAAAAGUGCAAAUAAAUCGGGGAAGCCAUACAUUCGCACACCUUUCUCUGACUGAGUGGAGCAACCCCACGCAGCACAGUAAACCACGGUGGAGACUAUGCAAGGACAACAUGAAAGAAAGGACACAUACAAAAUGCUUGUCAUGCUAUUACAUUUAUUAGAAAUGUA